ACCACGGGAGCCAGCAAGCCCCUAGGGUCGUAAAGCUCUGUUUGCGAGACGAAGGGCGAAGGGUUAAUAGCCCCUAGCCUGACGGUACUUGUACAGAAAGCCCCGGCUAACUACGUGCCAGCAGCCGCGGUAAUACGUAGGGGGCGAGCGUUGUCCGGAAUUAUUGGGCGUAAAGGGCGCGUAGGCGGCCCGGUAAGUCUGCUGUGAAACCUUGGGGCUCAACCCCAAGCGUGCAGUGGAUACUGCCAGGCUGGAGGAUGGUAGAGGCCAGUGGAAUUCCCGGUGUAGCGGUGAAAUGCGCAGAUAUCGGGAGGAACACCAGUAGCGAAGGCGGCUGGCUGGGCCAUUCCUGACGCUGAGGCGCGAAAGCUAGGGGAGCGAACAGGAUUAGAUACCCUGGUAGUCCUAGCCGUAAACGAUGAACACUAGGUGUGGGGGGAGUCGAAUCCCUCUGUGCCGAAGCCAACGCGUUAAGUGUUCCGCCUGGGGAGUACGGCCGCAAGGCUA
rnacentral:rRNA from 1 species